AACGAACGCUGGCGGCAGGCCUAACACAUGCAAGUCGAGCGCCCCGCAAGGGGAGCGGCGGACGGGUGAGUAACGCGUGGGAACGUGCCUCUUGCUACGGAAUAGCCUCGGGAAACUGGGAGUAAUACCGUAUGUGCCCUACGGGGGAAAGAUUUAUCGGCAAGAGAUCGGCCCGCGUUGGAUUAGGUAGUUGGUGGGGUAAUGGCCUACCAAGCCGACGAUCCAUAGCUGGUUUGAGAGGAUGAUCAGCCACACUGGGACUGAGACACGGCCCAGACUCCUACGGGAGGCAGCAGUGGGGAAUCUUAGACAAUGGGCGCAAGCCUGAUCUAGCCAUGCCGCGUGAGCGAUGAAGGCCUUAGGGUUGUAAAGCUCUUUCAGUGGGGAAGAUAAUGACUGUACCCACAGAAGAAGCCCCGGCUAACUCCGUGCCAGCAGCCGCCGUAA
rnacentral:rRNA from 1 species